rnacentral:misc_RNA from 1 species
UGUGACAAACGGCUCGUCUGAAAUGCCUGAGUGUACCCUGCUUUGCGGCGUAUUUGGUGUGAUAAAAUCUUCACCGGAGUCUUGACCCUUGUGGUCAGCGCUUGCAUGGUUUGGCUCUAUGCUUUCCAACUGUCCCUAACAAGGACAAACUACUCUGACAAUUUGACCUCAAAUCGGGUGGGACUACCCGCUGAACUUAA